GAUCCUGGCUCAGAACGAACGCUGGCGGCAUGCCUAACACAUGCAAGUCGAACGAACCCUUCGGGGUUAGUGGCGCACGGGUGCGUAACGCGUGGGGAUCUGCCCUUUGCUUCGGAAUAACAGUUAGAAAUGACUGCUAAUACCGGAUGAUGUCGCAAGACCAAAGAUUUAUCGGCAAAGGAUGAACCCGCGUAGGAUUAGCUAGUUGGUGGGGUAAAGGCCUACCAAGGCGACGAUCCUUAGCUGGUCUGAGAGGAUGAUCAGCCACACUGGGACUGAGACACGGCCCAGACUCCUACGGGAGGCAGCAGUGGGGAAUAUUGGACAAUGGGCGAAAGCCUGAUCCAGCAAUGCCGCGUGAGUGAUGAAGGCCUUCGGGUUGUAAAGCUCUUUUACCAGGGAUGAUAAUGACAGUACCUGGAGAAUAAGCUCCGGCUAACUCCGUG
rnacentral:rRNA from 1 species